GGUCCGGUGGCCGAAGCGAUAACGGCGCCGGUCUUCACACGGCAGGACCGGGGGUUCUAAUCCCUUCCAGACCG
rnacentral:tRNA from 1 species